ACGGUGGCAUGUUGCACCGUGAUGUGUUGCACCGUGACAUGUUACACUGUGAUUUAUUGCACCGUGACAUGCCAUGCAUGCUCUGUUGUGUUGCACCGUGACGUGUUGCACCGUGACGUGUUGCACUGUGAUUUAUUGCACUGACAUGCCAUGCAUGCUCUGUCCUUUUGCACCAUGACGUGUUGCACCGUGACGUGUUGCACCGUGAUUUAUUGCACCAUGAUUUAUCGCACCGUGACAUGCCAUGCAUGCUCUGUUGUGUUGCACUGUGACGUGUUGCACCACGAUUUAUUGCACAGUGACAUGUUGCACCGUGACGUGUUGCACCGUGAUUUAUUGCACCGUGACGUGACGUGCUCUGUCGUGUUGCACCGUGACGUGUUGCACCGUGACAUGCCAUGCACGCUCUGUUUUGCACCGUGAUGUGUUGCACCGUGAUGCGUUGCACUGUGAUUUAUUGCACCGUGACUUAUUGCACCGUGACAUGCUGUGCUCUGUCGUGUUGCACUGUGACGUGUUUCACCGUGAUUUAUUGCACCGUGACGUGCUGUGCUCUGUCGUGUUGCACCGUGACGUGUUGCACCAUGACGUGUUGCACCGUGAUGUGUUGCACCAUGCAUGCUCUGUUUUACACCAUGAUGUGUUGCACCGUGACGCGUUGCACUGUGAUUUAUUGCACCGUGACUUAUUGCACCGUGCCGUGCCGUGCUCUGUCGUGUUGCGCUGUGACGUGUUGCAUCAUCCUGUGCCGUGCUCUGUUAUCUUGCACCGUGACGUUUUGCACUGCCCUGUGCCGUGCUAUCUCGCGUCUCACCCUUCUGUGUCACGCCAGGCCAUGUUGCACCACGCCGUGCCAUGCUCCGUUGGGUGGCACUGCUCCAUGGUGCACCGUGCUCUGUUGCACUGUGCUGUGUUGCGCCGUGCCACGCCAUGCUGCUGUGUUGCACCGUGCCAUGUUGCGCUGCGUUGUCCUACACCACCUUGUGCCACACUCUUGUGUUGCACCAUGCUGUGUUGCGCUGCACCGUCCCCUGCCAUGCCGUGUUGCGCUGUGCUGUGCUGUGUUGCAUCGUGCCGCCUUGCGCCGUGUCGUGCUGCGUUGCACCACGUCAUGCCAUGUUGCACCAUGUCGUGCCGCAUUGCACUGUGUCAUGCUGUGUUGCACCGCCGUGCCAUGUUGCACCGCCGUGCCAUGUUGCACCAUCGUGCUGUGUUGCACCGUGUCGUGCUGUGUUGCACCGUGUCGUGCCGUGUUGCACCAUGUCGUGCUGCGUUGCACUGUCGUGCCAUGUUGCACCAUGUCAUGCCAUCCUGCACCAUGUCGUGCUGCCUUGCACCACGUCAUGCCAUGUUGCACCGUCCUGCCACGUUGCACCGUGUUGUGCUGCACUGCACCACGUCGUGCUGUGUUGCAUCAUGUCAUGACGUGUUGCACCGUGUUGUGCCAUGUUGCACCGUGUCAUGCCAUCUUGCACCAUGUUGUGCUGCACUGCACCAUCAUGCCAUGUUGCACCAUGUCGUGCUGCAUUGCAUUGUCAUGCCGUGUUGCACUGCCAUGCUGUGUUGCACCACGUUGUGCCACGUCACACCAUGUCAUGCCAUCUUGCACCAUGUCGUGCUGCAUUGCACCACGUCGUGCCAUGUUGCACCACAUCGUGCCAUGUUGCACCAUGUCGUGCCGCGUUGCACUGUGUCAUGCCAUGUUGCACUGCUGUGCCAUCUUGCACCACGUUGUGCCAUCUUGCACCACGUCAUGCUGCGUUGCACCGUGUCGUGCCGUGUUGCAUCGUGUCGUGACGUGUUGCACCGUGUCGUGCCAUGUUGCACCAUGUUGUGCCAUGUUGCACCGUGUCGUGCUGCAUUGCACCACGUUGUGCUGUGUUGCAUCAUGUUGUGAUGUGUUGCACCGUGUCGUGACGUGUUGCACCAUGUCGUGCCAUGUUGCACCAUGUCGUGCCGUGUUGCACCGUGUCGUGCUGCAUUGCAAUGUGUCGUGCCGUCUUGCACCACGUCGUGCCGUGUUGCACCGUGUCGUGCCGCGUUGCACCGCCAGGCCACCUUGCACCACGCCGCAUUGCUCCAUGUUGUCACACCUCACACCAUCCCGUGUUCUCCCGCGUUGUCCCGUGUUCUCCCAUGUUGUCCCGUGUUCUCCCGCGUUGUCCCGCGUUGUCCCG
ensembl:lncRNA